ensembl:lncRNA
AACAGCUUAAGAAAAAAAAAAAAAAGAGAAAUGAAGUAACAAUAUUAAUUGUGUCCACACGGACCUUUUUGAAUGUGACACCUGAAGUGAGAGUUGGACGUGAGAUGCACGUAGGUUGUACUGUGCGUGUCAGUAAAUUAAUAAAGCGUUGCCCAAUUGGGCUGUUAUAAAGUUAUUCUGUAGUCCUUUUAUGCGAAUAGGAGCAGAAUAAAACAGCUACUAUUGGAAAUGAUCAGCCCCCCUCCUUCAAACCCCACACCCUUGUUAGAGGGUUGCAUUUGUGAAAGUGAAAGUUAGCGCCCGCAACUUUUACCCACGACGCAUGUUUCGUGGAUUUAAGGAGUCGAAAGGGAAAAUCCUAUGCAUUCUUUAAAUUAAAACUGGGAUAUUACAGCUCUUGAUGCACGGAAUUACUUAUCGGAUAUGAUUCAAAAAUGCGUUUGGAUCUUGCUGCCUUGCGCGCAUUCUGCAGCAUUAUACAGAUGAUCUCCCUGACGACGUCUUUUCUCAUUUCAGUCACCUGCUUUUUACCAAGAAAACACAGAGGAAAGGUAUGUAGUGAACUAACAAGCCAGCGAUUGUCAUCUUUACAUCUUUAUGAUGCGCUAGUGUAUGACAACAUUGCUCCAAAGCCACAAAGCUUAUAUCAAAAGGCAUUAUGACAUCCAAAAUCUUCGUGUUUAGGCUAUACAAGUGCUGUCAGAGCGGCUCUGACAGUGUUGGGGUCCUGUAGGCUUUUAGAUUGUACACCAAAAAUCUGAGUGACAAGAAUUAUGGUGACAUUGUUACUGAUGUUGACGUAUACUUAGGGUGACCACACGUGUUGUUUACAUGUCAAAACACAUUCUCAUCACGUGUACAACACGUUCUUAACGUGUGAUCUCAGACAUCAAUUUCGUUAGACGCCAUAAUUCUAACCCAUUUGGCCAGCCGUCCACUCUGAACAGACAGGCUUGAGCUACUUGUGCCUCAGGAGUGCUGUGUGUCCGGCCCAGCUUUUGAGCAGCGAGCUAUCUGAGUGCCUUGCUGACAAGCGUUGAUGCUCAUAUCGAGGAAAUUCGUUCAAUGGUCCCUAAGAAGAAUGCCAUUGGCGACUCAGAUGUCAUGUUGUACACUCCAAAUUUAGAUAUUAUUGCAAAAGAACAAGGCUGCGAGUGCUUCUUCAUGAAGUGCUUCCUCAUGGAGCUACAGGUCUACCAGGCAGAAAAUGAGCUGGACUUCAAUACAACAAAAGACUACCUUAAACACAUAAAACAGGAUAUCAGAACCUGUUCACCAUGUGAGGCUCAACCUGCUGCCAAUAUUUCCACAUUCUUUACAAGUCUGAGUGAGACCUUGGAUCGCUAUAGUUCGGAGAACACUGAGUGCUUUGACUGACUCAAAGACUGCGCUUUAGUAACCAAAGGGAUUCUUGCUGAGUAUCUUCUGUGGUUAAAAUAAGCUAUAUUGUGAUACAAGUUGUUUAUUGGCAAUUCUAUAUGUAUAUGUGUAUUUGUAAUAGAUAGAUGGAUACUUUAUUAAUCCCGAGGGAAAUUUAGGUCAUCCAGUAGCUUAUACACUUAACUUAACUGUGUGUGAGGAUAGCGCAAAGUGAUAUAAAUAGUGAAGUCUGUGCAAGGGGCUAGUAUAGCCAGUAAAAGGAUGGACAGUGGGAUGGAAUAUAAUGAGAUGAGAAGAGGAGGGCAGACUGAGGUAGACUCAUGCAGAGAAGUCCAUCUCCCUGCCCCUCCCCUUCUGCAUGGCGUUAUAAAGCUGUAUGGCCCUGGGGACAAAGGACUUCCUCAGCCUGUCCGAUGAGCAUGACAGUGACAGGAGUCUGCCACUGAAUAUGCUCAUCUGUCCGUUGAGAGUUAUGUGUAGUGGGUGGUGGACAUUGUCCAAGAUGGUCAGCAACCUACUCAGGGUCCUUCUCUCCGCCACUGUUGUGAGACACUCUAGUUCAGUGCCAACAACAGCUAAUGAUACUUUGAAUGUAAAGACCACUAUGUUACAAGGCAUGGAAAGUCGCCUUACUCACUUAUCAAGGGUGCCUGCCUCUGAAGGGCCUCAGACAUGGGUGUGUUUGCCUUCUGUUUCUGUCAUGGAACUGAGAUAGCACUGGCGGGGAUGCACUGUAUUCAGAUCUAUUAGAGUAAAAUGAUGUCUGGGAAACUAGACUGCACUAUCUAGUACAUGUAUGUAUGUCUAUGUAAGUAUUUACGCAUAUGUGUGUGCUGCAUGAUUGAAACAAACUUUUAAGUGUGAGUGUCCGACAGAUACAGGAAGGAAGCCAUAGUUCACAAGGAGAGGUACUGUUGAGUAAGAACUGCUUCCACUUUCAGUGUACUGACUUGCUACAAUACUUUCACUUUCUAUAUUAAAUGUAGCAAUGACAAUGGCUUCGGUAUACAGUGUGAAGAAUCUGUCUGUAACAGCAGUUACAGCCAAAAGCCUAAACCAUAAGUUUGUUUUAAUCAUGCGUGUAGGCUUAAGGGGAACCAAUUAGUAGGUGCAGGGGACUCAUGAUCCCUAGUCUCAGGGAGCCAACACUACUGAGCUUGCUUAAUGGGGAGCUGGCCAGUUCAGUCCCCCAUAAAAAAACAACCCUACCCUACAAUUGCUCGCACCACUCCCUGAAAAAACAUCUCCGCUGUGGAGCUGCAAUCUGAGUUAUGAGAGACUGGCAAAGCGGAGGCGUCUAGACCCGGGACUCCAACAUUCGGCCCGCCCUCCUGGCGCUGCUGGCAUGACUGCAGAUGUCCUCACUGUCCUUAAGUCUCAGAACAUGCAAUGAACGCAGGAAGUCCAAGUGGCGCUCGGCUAGAAAAAGGAUCGGAGGCGUUCCAGAACCUCUCCCUGGACCUCCAGCUGUUCCUCUGCGCCCCACAACUCCCAGGGGUCCACAACUGUCACUUUUUUUUUGGUCCUGUUUUGAUGGAUCAUGGAACAGUUUGGUUGGUCAGUUCUCUCUUCCUUUCAGGGCCCCUCAAAUGCUACCGCUUUUAUAUCUCUGUGUCAGAGCCAAAUGUAUUUUAUUCUUUUCUUAAAUAAUGAUAUUCCUUUCUUUUUCGAAACAGCCACCUGUCUUUGUAGUUCAUUCAUUCAUUCAUUCAUUCAGUCAGCCAUCCAUUCAUUCAUUUGCUUGUGUCACAGUAUGUAUGCACUCUUGUGACCUGUGAGACCACUGAAGCCAACAGUAAAGUACACAAAACUAUUUACCAAACAAGUAUGAGUUUGAAUACUUGAUGCCUGAAUAAGAGAUGUUUCAGCAGCUUUUAUGGUAAAAAAAAAAAACAAUGUGAAAAAGUGCCAUUAUGGUGAAGCCACUGCAUCAGGCAAAACAAACGUACACCAACUUUGAAGCUUUGGGACCUUAUAAAGAAGACUAGUUUGGUUGUAGACAUAUAUGUGUGUAUGAAGUUAAAACUCCACUGUAAAACACUUUGAAGCUGUUUAAAAGUUAAUGGGCCUAUUUUGAAGGUGAAAACAGCCUAUUCUGCCCGGUCGAGUUGUCUAAACUCCAGCGAUAAACGAAACUUUUCUCCCCCGAGGCGUGGAUUUUGGAUAUAGGUGACAAGUUCUUCGUUGAUAGGUGUGACGGUAUGCAUGCCGACCGUCACGGCAGCGUUGCGCUGCCUCCAUUUACGGACAAUGUACAAGUGCAAAUGUUUGCCUCUGUGUGUUUUAUGUGUGUUUUCCGUGCCCGUAUGCAGUUUUUAUAUGUUUGGUAACCAUGUCAUUCAUCAUACACACCGUGAAUUAUAUUAGCGCAUUUGUCAACCAUUACACCUCUACAGUUUAAAUACAUCCUUACCCAUCGUUUUUUUCUGUUAUAAUAACCACACCAUACAAUGUCUUGACUCUUAAAUGUUCCGUUUAUUUAGUUUAAAAUCAUACAUCACAAUGUCAUAUUUCAUAGCAUUUGUCUUACGGUCAGUGUCUCGUCUUGUAUUUGUUUGUUCGUGUAAAGACGGUCUGCGCCUUAACGCAGAUUUAAAAAGACACUAACUUCUAUUAGGAAUUAAGUUUGGUAGCUGUUUAAGCCUAAUGGUUUUGCCUGCCGGAAACACCCCUGUAUAUUGCUGUAUAGGGGCCUGUGCAGGCACUAUUUAGGCUGGGCUCUUUAGUCUUCCCAGAGGGCUGCUGAUGGGUGGACGUAAGUCCUAGAGCUGUGUGAAUUUGCCUUUGACCUGUGAAUAUGCUUAUACUAGUCGACUGCUUAUUUGAUUCAUUGUUUUGACUAUCAUGUCAACUUUAUUUUUUGUAUUGUAAAGUAUUUUUUUGUUGUUAGUAUUUUCCUUGUUUUUACUGCCUUUUUGGCCAUCAUUGGGAAAAAUAAAGAUUCCCAUCAUCUAACCUAAACCUCCUAAGUACUCCUGAGAGUUUCUCCAUCUAGAGUUUCUCAACCGCUUUGAACACAUCUACCCUUAACAAUAGGUAACAUUUUAAUGCGCCAAUCACAAACCAUCACUACCCAAGCCUGAUUUAUCUAUCUGGCAAAUACUAUUUUCCCUUUAUUGGAAUAGUGGGGCAUUAUGCCUACAUAUUUUUGUUUUGGCAAGGAAGCGGGCUUCGGUUAAUGUACUUACUCUAUCUUGAAUGUCCCUGUACACAUAUCCUGGCAGGCUUUAAAAAAAUUAUUAAAUGUUUGUUUAAGGUCAAACACCUUGAAAGCGCCUGGUAAGUCAGCAGUAAACGAAUGUCAUACAUGAUGUAAAUAAUGACAUUUCAUGUUAUUUCUAUUCAAGUUUCAAGUUAGUCAUGUAGUAAAAAGGGCAUUUAUCAGUAAUGAAAUAUUCACAUACAACUCCACUUCAGACCACUUCAAAAUGAUCAGUUUCUCUAGUUUUACUAUUUAUUGGUAUGUGUUUGAGUAAAAUUAAAAAAAUGUUGUUUCAUUCUAUAAACUACUGACAACAUUUAUCCCAAAUUUUACAAACAAAUUAUUUGCAGAAAAUGGCAACUGGUCAAAAUAACAAAAAAGAUGUUUUCAGAAUCUAAGAAGAGUUCAGAAAUUUGGUGGAAUUACCUUGAUUUUCAAUCACAGCCUUCGUGUGUCUUGGCAUGCUCUCCAGCAGUCUUUCACAUUGCCGUUGUGUGACUUAAUGCCACUCCUGGUGCAAAAAUUCAAGCAGCUAGGCUUUGUUUGAUGGCUUGUGACCAUCCAUCUGGUGGUCUUUCAUCCACACCUUCACUGACCUGGCUGUGUGGCAUGUAGCAUUGUCCUGCUGGAAACACCACUCCUCAGAGUUGGGGAACAUUGUCAAAGCAGAAGGAAGCAAGAUUUCUUCCAGGACAACUUUGUGAUUCAAUGGGUCAUUCACAAAGACAAAUCUGCCCAAUUCCAGCCUUGCUGAAGAACCCCCAGAUCACCACCGAUCCUCCACCAAAUUUCACAGUAGGUGCUUGACACUGGCUUGUAGGCCUCUCCAGGUCUCCGUCUAGCCAUUAGAUUACCAGGUGUUGGGCAAAGCUGAACAUUUGACUCAUCGGAGAAGAUGACCUUACUCCAGUCCUCUAUGGUCCAAUCCUUAUGGUCUUUUGCAAACCUCAGCCUGGCUCUUCUUUGCUUCUUGUUGAUGAAGGGCUUUUUUCUAGCUUUGCACGACUUCAGCCUUGACCAGCCUGUUUCUAACCAUCCUAGCCAUGCACUUCACCCCAGCUGCCGUUUGCCAUUCUUUUUGGAGGUCACUUGAUGUCAUCCUAUGGUUGUUGAGUGACAUUCAAAUGAAUUGGCGGUCAUCUCGGGUUUGGGAAGAGUAAUUUUCGUCCUCUGCCGGAUUGUAGCUUUGUUGUCCAUAAUGUCUGCUGCUUCACCUUGUUCUUAUGAACCGCCGUCUUUGACAUUUUAAGGAUGGAAGCAACCUGACGCUCACUGUAUCCCUCUGCCAGGAAAACCAGAAUUCAACCCUUCUUUUCCUCACUCAAAACUUUUCUUUGUAACUCUUUUGGCAUGGUCAAGACACUUUUUUUAUUCCAAUUACUUUUGAGGUACUUCUAGCACUGUUUCUGCCAUCCAGCUGGUCCUAUUGCAAGAGGAUAGUGACGACCACAGCACUGUUUUUUUUUAAUACUUUUCUGCAUUAAAUAAGAUUUGGUUCAGGUGAUCACCUAAUCAGUACCUCAUUAAGUAGAAUCAGGUGUGCCUGUAUUGGAAUUCAACAGACACUGGAAUGGAAUGGCUGCCAUACACAUAGAGAUGCUGUUUUAAGAAAAAUUUGCAGUUGUGGUCUUUUAGACUAAGGGAGAAGAAGAGAUGCCGCGCUACACCAGUGCAUUUCCAGAUCUCUUUUCUUGGCCACAACGGAAUACAGAGAAAGAUUUACAUCCAUCAACAUAAAGAUCCUCCAAUGUUUUAUGCUUUUUCCCACUGGUCACUGCUGCUGUUGCGUUUUACACAUCCGUUUCUUUCCCUGUCUCUGGGAUAUCCCAUAUCGUCAGUAUAUUUACACAUACAUUCACCAGUGGUCUCGUGUUACGCAAAUGAUCUAAUGCUCAGCUAAUAGGCUUUCACUCACCUGUUUGAUUCUGACGGGGUUCUGGAUGCAUGGACUGCACCAAAUAGCCUUCAGGUUGUUCCCAAGACAAUAGCAUGGCAAAAAUGCCAUGUAAAGGAUUUUAAUCUAACCUAAUUAAUGUUGAAUACUUGAGAAGAAUCUAAUAAGCUGUUGCAGUAAAGGUUAAGAUCAUUCUUUCGCAUAACCACACAAUACGUAGGCUAUACUAUUGGGGAAAGGAGUAAACGUAGCCUUCUAAGAAAACCCAAGUUUCCAUUUGAAAAACUUUAUUUCCAUAGAAAAUAGAACUGAUCUCUUCUGCUUCCACAAGUCACACACAGCAAGUGUCAGAAUGUCUGCUGAAACAUUUAAACUUUCAGCAAGAACAUUUUCGUUUCAGUUCCUAGCUCAGAAGUUGCACAUAUAUUACAUAGACGAAUUUGUUCCCCUUUUAAUAUGUGUCACAUGUUCACGUUCUAGGCCUAAGUAAAUUCUUCAGAUUGGAUUUGAGAUGGGUAAUAUUGAUUUCGACAAAAUAAUAUGUAAAUUUUUCAUGGAAUCUAAGUGAGCAAAACACACGUGAGCUCAAAAAUCAAACACCCUGACAAACAAUAUUAUAGUUAGUUCGAAGGGAUGUGGCAAGGGGAUUUUAAACCAGGCAUAACAAGCUACAUUUAUGUGUCAAACUAAUUUAAUUGUUUUGAACAACAGAAUAAGCAAUAAGGUUUAUUCCUGGUGAAUGCAAUAUUUCCAUUUUACAUUUGUGGGAUAUUUUAAUAUGAGUAAGGGAUUUGCCCGGUAACCCAUUUAAUUAGUUUGAGGGUUAUUCACACAUAGUAUACAAGAUGAUUUCAAAUAAGGGGGUUGACCUAAGGGAAAUAAUGGGUGGGUCAUUAGGUACAGUUUAAGCCUUCUGAUUGGAUAAGGUCAGAUGAGAGGUCAGAGGUUUCAUUUGUAAAAAGGGGUUAGCCAACUAGGGCGGUUGUGGGAGGUGUUAGGUAACUGUUUAAAUAUGUUGGCGCGAGUGUAUCUGGCAGAUCUUUUCCUGGAAAUUCAUCUCUUUAUUGUGGCCUAAUUACUACAGUAAAUCUGUUGCAACAACACGUCCUGGGUUUAAGUCUCUGAUUGUGAAAGUUGUAAAAUACUUGAAAUUAGCCACGACACGUUGUAAUCUCGUCUGAUGCAUUCCGUUUAAAGGAUUUGCUGACAAUGCUAGUGGCAGGUUUUGACCAAAUCUUUCACUGAUUACCUUCGACCUGGAUCUGCGUAUUUAAUGCCUUUACUGCUCGCUCCUUUUUUAUGCAACAGGGCACAACAUGUGCUACCUGUGAAACUGGACAUUUAAAGGCAUGUUGAAAUAUGGAGAAAAAAUGUCAACGUCAUCAAGAGCAACCAUCAGCUUUUAGUGACUCCUGAAAACAAAUGAGCAAAGUCUUAACUCCAUUUUGCAGCGGUGUUCAGAAUUUAAACCGGGGAGUAACACAGAGGUUUUAAGUGCUAGACAGAUACAAGUGCUAAACAGAUACAUCUUGUAAAUACAAGAUUAUCUGGGAGAGGUAGGAAACUGUUACAAAUUAGAAGUAGACUAACAUGUUCAUACGAUAAGAUUGUCGAAAAAGAUCAUGUGACAAACUAAGUUACAACAUUUUCGCAGUUGUGCGUGUAGGGCUCUCUAGAAAUGUGCUUAUUGCGAGAGUCCUACUAGGCCGUAAGGUGAACACUGUUUUCGUUUCAACCCGCUCCACAGUCGCGCAUCUACACAAUCUUUAGCUCAUAAAAAAGAUUGAGUCGUGCUUAGCUACCAAAAAAAAGUUCGUCGCUGACUUUCCAGUCAAUUUUUGGUGUGUCUAUGUUUUAUGCCGAACUAGUUUCUUCAGAGCGCACAAGGAUCUUGGUCGCGAGUGCUGGCACUUUUCGACACGUGAUCAUGCUACACCAAUAAGGUAGCUGCUUUUUGUCAACAGAGUUGCAAGAUGGCGUCCACCUUGCCUUCAUCGAGUAGUACGGCAGACGAAGAAAAUACACCGGAAUGUCUUAAUAAAUCAAAAAACAAACAUUGUUUUAUGCAUAUUACUUCAGUCA